AGCGCCUCCAGCCUCCUAUCCUGGAUGUCAACUACAGAAACCUCUGAGAUUGAGGUUUUCUUCUUUUUGGAUGAAUUCUGAAGUUAAACAUAAAACAUCUUGAAAAUAGACUGGAGAUUUGUCAAAUGAAACAGACAAAAAAGUACUGAGAGUAAGUUUACAGCAACAGAGUUUCAUAAGAAUUCAGUGGACGGUCUUGGGUACUAAACCCUUUUGAGAACCUGGCCACUGAUGUCCCUAACCCUAAAUUUGGCAGCCUAAGAAACUUUCCAGAUUGUUUAAUCUGCAGGUCAGCAUAUCAGGCAAUAAUGUUUCAAAUGCCUUCAAGGUGACUUAAAGAAAAGCACUCUGGAGCUUGAAAGCUUCUCUCUUUCACCAGCAAAUAUUGGUCCAAUGAAAGAUAUUACCUCGCCCACCUUUUCUAUCUUCAAGGCGUUACUCAGGUUGCAGAACCACCUGCUGCCACUGGGGCACACCUGGUUGGUCUGGGAGAACUCCAGCCCCUGGAGGCUGCAAUACAGCUGGCUGCCAAGAGAGGACCUCUGGCCCUGUAGCACAUAGACUGUAGACAGCAGAGGGAUGAUG